rnacentral:rRNA from 1 species
GUGCCAGCCGCCGCGGUAAUACAGAGGUCUCAAGCGUUGUUCGGAUUCAUUGGGCGUAAAGGGUGCGUAGGUGGCGCUGUAAGUCAGGUGUGAAAUUUCGGAGCUUAACUCCGAAACUGCAUUUGAUACUGCGGUGCUUGAGGACUGGAGAGGAGACUGGAAUUCACGGUGUAGCAGUGAAAUGCGUAGAGAUCGUGAGGAAGACCAGUGGCGAAGGCGGGUCUCUGGACAGUUCCUGACACUGAGGCACGAAGGCCAGGGGAGCAAACGGGAUUAGAUACCCCCGUAGUCC